rnacentral:ncRNA from 1 species
GAAAAAGCAGUGAAUGGGAGCGGUGCAAAAGGAAGGCCCCAGAGAGCCGGGGGUAGCUGCGAACCCGGUGCCGGAGUUUUGCACAGAUCGCCCAGGAGCUUUCCGGUCGAAAGGUUAGUAGGCCGGAACGGUUUUUGACCGUUAUGCCAAUGAAGCGGCCGGGUUACCAUGCCCGGCAAGCAGGGUGGUACCGCGGGCAAAACCCCCGUCCCUGGA